UGGAAUAGAGUCCAACUCCUAAGACAG
rnacentral:piRNA from 1 species